UACGAAGGGGGCUAGCGUUGUUCGGAAUUACUGGGCGUAAAGCGCACGUAGGCGGAUACUUAAGUUAGGGGUGAAAUCCCAGGGCUCAACCCUGGAACUGCCUUUAAUACUGGGUAUCGUUGAGUUCGAGAGAGGUGAGUGGAAUUCCGAGUGUAGAGGUGAAAUUCGUAGAUAUUCGAAGGAACACCAGUGGCGAAGGCGGCUCACUGGCGUCGAUAC
rnacentral:rRNA from 1 species